rnacentral:rRNA from 1 species
AGAUGAUGUCUCCGACCAAAGGUGUGAUUCCGCCUUGGGAUGAAUCUGCGUCCUAUUAGCUAGUUGGUGAGGUAACGGCUCACCAAGGCGAAGAUGGGUACCGGGUGUGAGAGCAUGACCCGGCUCACUGGGACUGAGACACUGCCCAGACACCUACGGGUGGCUGCAGUCGAGAAUCUUCGGCAAUGGGCGAAAGCCUGACCGAGCAAUGCCGCGUGCGGGAUGAAGGCCUUCGGGUUGUAAACCGCUGUCAGUGGGGAGCAAGUUCCAUAAGGCUAUCCUUAUGGAUUGAGCAAUCCGCAGAGGAAGUACGGGCUAAGUUCGUG